GCAAGAAAGGUGAUUGGAUGUGGCCCACUUCAUUUUUCAGUGAAGGAGGAGGGCAGGAAUGGGGAGGAUAGAUAGAUGGGGAAAUUCAGUCUAAAAUAAGACUAAAUAAGGCUAAAAAUAAAUGUAUGGCUUUCCAAUGGCCUCCAUCUCCAACAAAAAUUACAUUUUAAGUUAGGUUAAGUUUUUUUUAUAUCUAUUCAAUUGGUUCCUGUUGAGACUGCAGUAUAAUUCCUUUCACUAUAUGACUCCUUUCUUACCACCCAACAAUCCAUUGUGUGUCUAAAGUGACCAAUUGAGUAUGAAAAGUUGGCAGUGGGGAUAGAUAAUCUCAGCAAUAAGAGGAGAGAAUCCCAUGCCAGAGAAUUCAAGGAAUAUGUGCUACAUGUGGUACAUAUAGGGCAACAUUGAAGAGACCAAGAGUAGACUAUCUCACUUCUGGUACGUGGAUGAGACCCAGAUGGAACCCUCUAACUCAAAUGAUAAAGCUUAUAAGCAAGGAUGUCAGGGACAAAUGAGACGCUUUCAACACCUGAGCUGACUUUUGCUCAGCACUUGUAGAGUUGACUUCAGCCAACAUAAAGCAGGGGCCUCAGGAAAGAGUAGGGUACAGCCCUAGCUGGAACCUGGCAUAGUCCACUACCCGGAAUUAGCCAAACUACAAAGUUUGAAGACAGUCUCUCCACAAGACCACUAUGGUUUCUGACACCAACUGUCACUCUCUCUGGAGUAGUCAAGCUGCCAUGUCAUAACCAACCCUAUGCAGAGGCCCAUGAGGGGAGAAACUGAGGCCCUUGUACCAAUGGCCAUGUGAGGAUUGUUCUUCUCCAGCAAACCUUCAGUGACAACAGCCCCAGCCAACAUCUGGACUGUAUUCUCAUGAGAAACUCUAAACCAGACCCAUCCAACUAAGCUCUUUCUAGAUUCCUGGAUAGAUAAUAAAUGGUUGUUGUAAGCUGCUGAA